GAUGAACGCUAGCGGCAGGCUUAAUACAUGCAAGUCGAGGGGCAGCAUAAGUAGCAAUACUUGAUGGCGACCGGCAAACGGGUGCGGAACACGUACGCAACCUUCCUUUAAGUGGGGAAUAGCCCGGGGAAACCCGGAUUAAUACCCCGUAAUAUUAUGAUGUGGCAUCACUUUAUAAUUAUAGAUUCAUCGCUUAAAGAUGGGCGUGCGCCUGAUUAGGUAGUUGGCGGGGUAACGGCCCACCAAGCCUGCGAUCAGUAACUGGUGUGAGAGCACGACCAGUCACACGGGCACUGAGACACGGGCCCGACUCCUACGGGAGGCAGCAGUAAGGAAUAUUGGUCAAUGGACGCAAGUCUGGACCAGCCAUGCCGCGUGGAGGAUGAAGGUCCUCUGGAUUGUAAACUUCUUUUAUUUGGGAAGAAAUGCUAUUUUUUCUAAAGUGCUUGACGGUACCAGAUGAAUAAGCACCGGCUAACUCCGUGCCAGCCGCCGCGGU
rnacentral:rRNA from 1 species